ensembl:snoRNA
UCCCUCCAGCUCCCUUUCCCAUCAGAUCUGAACACUGGUCUUGGUGGUCGUAAAGGAGGAAAAGACAUGCUGAAGCCAGCCUCACAGCCUGAUAGUAUAGUAUAUAGUAUGUGGGCUAGAUGCAAACAAGG